rnacentral:lncRNA from 1 species
CAAGAUGGCGACCGAGGGGAGGCGGGAACCGAGAUGGCGGCUGAGGGAGCGUGGAGGCCGUGGGCCCGGCUUCCGACAGCGCGGCGCUGACUGCAGGACGGCCUAAGGAUGUCUAGAGCAACGAAGAGGCCUAAGCGCACCUAUGGGGCGCAGUGAGGUAAAACCGGCCCUGUGACACUGCCACACUCCUCCCACCAGGAGUGAACUGAUGUGAAGUGCCUGGUCCUACACAUGGAAACGCAAAUCCUCCAUUUGUUUUUACAACCACAGCAAUCACCCAUCCCCAGCGGAAGGCCACACCAGACAGUUUAUUUCUAAAUCUUUAUUUGUUUUCUACACGGAGAAAACAGAGGAAUGUUGAAGCAGCAGUACUGAAACACACUAACGAGGAGCCAUCCAUCUGUGAGUGCACACAACAUAGCGCAGGGCCGUCUGUGUGGUGAUCUCUAACGGGAAGCACGAGGGGAGGUCUGGGAGCAGCCUCUGGGCACAGGAGGGAGAGCUCUAUGCAAAGGUGGAACCGUUCCAGCCCACGUUGGCAGCAUUUAUGUCGAAGUAGUUGAUGUAUACCCUGCAGAAGAGGCAUAGGAAUACACAAAAAAAAUGACUCUUAAUAAGUAGUUUGUAUAAGCAAUGAGUGAGACAAGGCAACAGGAUAGAGGAGAGUGUCUCCUGCCUCCCAGAAACAAAAGUUUUUACUGAAGCCUGUUUAACGUGUGUGACAGCCUCCAUCAGCUGAUAUCCUUAGAGCCUCUGGAACUGUCCCUUCUAUCAAAUACAAGCUCUUCAGUCAGGAGCAACUCAGGCACCUUUUGGGUAGCAGCCUGUCCAGAAUUCCAGAGACAAACCUCUUGUUACAGAGCACUGCAGUCUCACACACCAGACCAACACACAGUCCGGCAGGCACUGGCUCUGUGCUUCUUCCUUCCAACACGGGGAUGUGAGAGGCAGCAGGCUGGUCCUCCUCCCUAUCACUGCUGCACGCGGGCACUCCCCAAAGCUCUACCUGUGCAAGAGCUGUGUGCAGCCUGCUAGUUCAUGCUUGCCUGUGUGCUCCAGCCUACUACGUCUCCGCCCUCGUGCUUUCAGGCCCCACCAUGAGGAAACAUCACACCCCAGGAGUGAAUGAAUCUGCAUUGUGGACUCUACCACUCGCCAAUGCUCAGGUGUUCUUUCCUACGAGGCUAAAUGGCUUCCUGGAGAACUUCCAAAGGAAAGAUGGAGGCAACAAACUUUUAAAUGGACGUGAAGAGCUGCAAGAAAUUACUUUGUAUUCUCUCCUGGCUUUUUACAUUUUCAAAUGAAGUUUCCAAAGGAGUCACAGAGCUACAGAUGAAAAGGACCACAUCCCAGCCCUACCUGUCUGCAGACACGUGCAAGUGCUUCGCAAUCAUAUCGCACAGGAGCUUGGUGUAGGUCUUGUUCUGCUGCCCUCCAAUUUUGCCAAUGCUGUAGAGGCUGCAGAGAGCGCAAGGAUCCGUGGAGCCCCCGAAGGACAUCAUCUGAUCAGAUGUUGCUGCAGCAUGAAGUUAGACGUGGAAGAGUCAUGCAGGAAAUUGCAAAGCUGUGGCUUCAAAAUGAUCUCAGAAAGGUUCUGAUCUGGAGAAGACAAGGGGGACUACAGAAGUCGCCAGAACCGUGAGCAUGCUUUAAUGGCUAAAGACAUGUAUUUGACACACAUGGAGCCCAGGAGCCCACCAAUGGUGUAAAUGGACACAAUAAAGGACCACAUCAAAGUAGUUAUCUCUUCACUGGGAGAAGAUCCGUAUCUCUUCAGCCAGGUCUCACGUAUGAAACUCUUGAUGUACUUUAAGAGAAAAACAGAAACCAAUGGACUCAAUCAACUUGUUUUCUGAUAAUUGCACCUUUUUAAAAUUUCUCUUUCCUAUUUGUCUUGUCUGAUACACUUCUGUCCAUACCUUGGCUGAAAUCUAAACCCCAGUAAAACAAGAAGGAAUUUUGCCAC